CCAGCUUAAGAAGUCAGCAUUGAAGUCAUCUAGUGAGAAACUAGGAGAACAACACGUGGACUCCAACCCUGAAGAAAUCCAACUGCCCGCUAUAGGAACUAAGAAUACAUCAGAGACGCCAAGUGGUCCAGAAACAUCUGAAGAAGAUUCUGCAGUCCAGGACCAAAGCUGAAACAGUCUUCAUCUGUGUGUGGAACUGCUGUGGGCCGGUCCUCUCUGGGAAGACGUGACGGACCUCAAAGCUGUUUAACCUGCAGCUAUCUAGUAUUUAUUAGAUGAGCUGACAUUUCAAAUGUUUGAACAGAACUGACAGCAACGAUCUUCUGCAGAGGGACAUGUGUCUCCAUCUCAGCAGCAAGUUGAGGAAGCAGUGAAACAUCUGCUGUCAGGAGAGAUGAACAUGACUGGAUGAACGCAAAUACUAAAUGACCAAAGAUGCCUGACUCUAAUUGUGUCUUCAUGUUUCUUUUAACUUUUUAAAAAUACAACAGCAGUAAAUUAUAAGGUUUAUCUGAUCAAAUCUUUCUCAUUAUGAGUUGGAUAAACUGUUUGUCAGUGGAUCAGCAGCAACCAACUUUCAUCAGAAACCUUUGCACAAAGCAAGUUAUUCAUGUAAACAUUAACUUGUUCUGUGGUUUUAUUGCUGUAAUGUCUUUGUAUUUAUAUUGUUGUACAUAUUUGUGUGUUGGAGUCUUAAAGCAUAUUUUCAUAUCAGAAACACCAUGAGCUCAGUGUUUCUCAACCUUUAGUUGGGAUAUUAUUUAUAAAUCAAGACAACAGCCUAUUUAAGGCUCUGUAUUCUAAUGUGUUGCUGCUGGAUAUUAGGGAAAUGUUUUUGUUUUACUCUGGAGAAUUAAAACUCUUUAUGGUGCCA